UCAGGGCUGGAAGGCCCCGCGCCGGGACGGGCAGGUGUGCGAUUUGGAACUGGAAGGAAUCGCUCUGUCCGAGUCCGGCCGGGUACCCGGAGGGGAAGGACGGACUACGGUUCCCGUCGCCCCGCGCGCCGGACGACCCCGGGCGAGUCCUUCGCGGCAGCGGCCGCUCCUUCGUGCCGGACCGUCCUCCUUCCAGGCAGCCGCCCGCGCCUGCUGCGGUCGGUCGGUCUCUCUGCCAGGCCCUCCCCGCGGCCCGCAGCCCUGGCUGGGGCGCCGCCGGUGACCCCAAUCACGGGCGGUAGCAGGCCGCUCCCAAACCCCAAGUCUUUACCUCUUGAGAGGUGGAAACAAUAAAUCUCCUCCCCCGGCCGCAAUUCCUGGGUAAAUUCGGGCCCCGAUCCUCGGCUCGGACCGAAGCUCUUCGCCUUGGCCCCCGCCGGCAGAACCCCGCUCUUAGCGAUCCCAGCUCGCUGCCCUGGCAGCCUGGCUCAGAAACGUGCCGCGGCUUCCCAGCGUCUGGUUAUAAAGCCCAAACUCUUAGCAUACGGUACAAGCACUGUAUGUGCUACCUAGACGCCCAGACUUGACCAGUUUCUUCCAAAAUGUUGAGUAUGGACACCGCACCUGGAAACAACCCUUCCCAGAGAGCGGUCUGGUUCCUCCGCAAAUACCGCACCCCUGCCCUUUCCUGCACCGUCUGUGGCUGCCGCUUGCUGUGGAGUAAGGGACCGGGGAUCCAGACCGGACAGCCAGAUUUCCUGUCGUUGACCCCUAAGGCGGCCCAGUACCCGAUGGACCCAUUUGCCCCGGAGCGGAAAACAAGACCGGGGUUUCCAGGGAAAGCAGCCAUACCUGUUUCAUCAUUGUCAUGGAAACAAGCAAGCAAAUGUCUACAUUGCAGGAAGUGGUGAACAGUGAAUUUGGAACCACACACCUGCCAUUAAAUUCUCGAAACACGCCAUCUCAUUGCUUCAACUUCGCGUCUACGGUCCUGCAUUUUCUGUCUCGGCCCCUGCAGCCUUCGCCGGAUCAGUGUCCACGGUUGCUGGCCAACAGCUGCGGGGGGCCGAGCGGCAUCCCUGGACUCUGCCCCCUGGCUGCCCGUAGCAGUGGUGACGAUCCACGGGGUCUGCAGACACGGCCAAUUGUCCGCCGGGGUGGAAUCACCCGAGGUUGGGAACCGUAGUCGUAAGUGGUUUUUAUCUUGCCAGUGUGUUUGCUUGCUUGUUUUGCCCAUCAUUAAACAGAGCGGCCUGAACCUCCCCGCAGCCCUUUCUGCCUCCACCCAAGGACCCCCGGAGGGCACAUUCCUAGCUGCUGAAUUGCUAUUUCAGGGAAGCAGCAUCCACUGAGAGCUCUGAUACGGUUUUUGCCAAAUUUCUCUUCUUUCUUUUUUAAUAUUUAUUUUUUUUUGAGGGACAGAGAGAGACAGCACAAGCAGGGGAGGGGCAGAGAAAGAGAGGGAGACACAGAAUCUGAAGCAGCUCCAGGCUCCGAGCUGUCAGCACAGAGCCUGACCUGGGGCUCGAACCCACGAACCGUGAGAUCACGACCUGAGCUGAAGUAGGAAGCCCGACCAACUGAGCCACCCAGGCGCCCCUGUUUUUGCCAAGUCUCUAGCCAAGUGUCAUUUUUAGAAAGUUAAAAGCACAGCUCGACACAAAUAUAUAGGUAGCCUACAUUCAAGAUUUCUUUGUCUCAUUUAGUGAGACAGCUGGCGGGCCAGAGGGCUGGCUCACGAGGAAGAGGGGACACAGUGCCCGAAAGGGAGCUCCGCAGUCACACUCCAAGCUGCGCGCGGCAUCCUUUGUGAGGCUCCACAGCAUUGAUCACUUUCACUGAGGUCAGUUCUCCGCGUGUCAACGUGGACCCGCACACGGUUGAGAAAUAACGCUUGUCAGUGGAAACUAGUAAGUCACGGGUGAGAUACAUCUUAGGUGGUCGUUGCGCUCACCCACGUGUGUCCUUGAAAAGACACAGCCACUCUCCUGCCCACUCCUGAGUUUUGAUGUUUUCUCUCUUAACAUCGUGGUCCUGACAUUGUGCACAAAGCCCUUCAGUUGCUCGGGCUCCGGGCCCCGAAACCACCGCCCACACGGGAUGAGCUUCCCUCCUCUUACCGCCCAUCGGUCCGGGAUGCGUGUCCUCACUUCCCUUCCUGUCACUGCGGGGACGGCCAGUACGGCUCCACACACGUACUGACCUUCUCGGCUCUCGCUUAUUUUGCCUUCCCAUCCUUUGCUGCUUUUCCUUUUAGAGAGUUCUGCUUUUCCUCAUUCAUUUGCCC
rnacentral:lncRNA from 1 species